rnacentral:rRNA from 1 species
GCUAAAUCGCGGCGAGCCGGCGGGGUGAUACGGUGGGGGCGGUCGUUUAUCGGAAGUACUGGGCGUAAGGCGGGCGCGUGCGGUUGGCCUGGUCAGAUGUGAAGGCCCCGGGCGUAACCUGGGAAUGGCAUUGGAAACUGGCUGGCUGGAGUGUGGCAGAGGGGGGUGGAAUUCCACGUGUAGCAGUGAAAUGCGUAGAGAUGUGGAGGAACACCGAUGGCGAAGGCAGCCCCCUGGGCCAACACUGACGCUCAGGCACGAAAGCGUGGGGAGCAAACAGGAUUAGAUACCCCAGUAGUC